rnacentral:lncRNA from 1 species
GCUAUGCUGAACGGUCUUCUUUGAUUGCCGUUGAAUUAGAUAAGGAUAACGCACCAUGCUUCUAUCCAUGCAUGUUAAUAAAUGCUUUGAGAGAAAAAAAAUCUAUAAACGAUGUGACUAGAGUAAGUGGUUGGAUAUUUUGCAAGCUGCAACCUCUCGGAACCACUCUUCUAUAAACACAUGAGAGAUAGAGCAAAAGGCAACUCCAUGACCGGUUUCCUUGGGUUUCACGAGCGCGGAGGAAUAGAAGGCAAAUCUGAGGAGGCUACAUGCUUCCUUCUUGAAGAGGUUAAAUGUUUCACCAUGUUGUUGUGAAUUCUGGCAAUUGCUUCAUGAGGAUUUUUAGGCCUCAAUCUUAUGUGGUGUGGGAAUCCACGUUGAGUUGCUACAAUAUGUGAGAAAGGGGAAAAAAGGUUCGAAAGUUGUAUGUAUGGUCAUUGAGAGAGUUUCAACUUUCAACUAUAGAGUGAAUUGACUGAUUUUGUAGAGCUCCAACCAUACCGGAGAUUCAUGUAUAUGUUCUUGACUGUGGGAACAUCACACUUUAGUCUACUUUACUAUGGUUGAAUUAGACAAGCACAUCAUACUGUCGAUCCUAAUUAAGAAACAAGAAUACAACGUGCGUGUCCAAGUUACGCUUAACACUUAACACUUAAAAGAAUCGGAGCGAUCAGCAAGAGAUCAUUUUUCUUCCUGAUUUACUACGUCCCAGUAGAUCCACACUCUUGUGUGGACACUUGGAAAUAUAACACCAUAAUUAUUAUUACUAUAUGAAAUGAUUAGGAG